UAUUACAAAUUAUAUCCAUUUCUAGUAUUAAAAAUUGAUGUGACAAACAAAAUAAACAGAGACACAUGGUAUGCCAUGUGUACAUCAUGUUGACAUAUAAUAACCAAUUUUUAACAAUAAAAAUGAACCAAAUUUUUAACA
rfam:Gossypium hirsutum cultivar TM-1 chromosome 20, whole genome shotgun sequence